UGUAUAGUGUUUGAGCCCUGUUGGCCAGCUGAUAGAAAGGUAAGAGGAACUCAAAUAACAACUGGUUACAACUGAGGUAUGUGUGUGAGUGGGACUGUGACUGUAAAGCACUUUGGGUCUUAGGAGAAGGUAGAAAAGCGCUACACAAAUAAAUGCAAUUUACCAUUUAUCAACAGCAUCUCUGAACUCACAACACGUCCAACAUCCAGGCAGAUGAACUACAGCAGCAGAACCAGGUGAAUGAAUGAGUGACAAGGUUGAUCAAAUCAGAAACUUCUAAGUCCAAAUUGUCCAUGAAGUAGACAAAAUCAGUAAAAGAAGUGGGAAUUAUAAAAAAUAUUUAAAUGACACACAAUUAUGAACAUCGGACCAUCGGGCUAGAAUGUGUUGGUCUUUGUGUUUCUGAAGAUCCAUAACCUCCUAUUGUAACAGUCCAAUCUGGUCAUCAGCUCUUAUUUGUUUGCUUAGCUGCUUAACACUUAGAAGUUAGAAAGGAAAAAAAGUCAAAGCUGAACUUAGUAUAAAAUUCUGUUUUAUUCACCCCACUUUCACACAUUCACCAUACCCAAGCUUUCUGUCGCAAUGCAACUACUGUCACAUGACAUUUACUUCCUAUCACUUCAAUAAUAACCUUAGACAGGAAAAGCUGUUCAGUAUACAAGUCAGUCUGUUACACACUUCACACGUUCUUAGACUUUACAUCUUUAUAAUGGAAGCCAUUUAUGAAAAUUUUGAACCUGAGGAUCCUGUCUGCAAAUUGUCUGUAUCAAAUCCACCAGCUUCCAUCAAGUCCAACAGGAGAUGCUAUCUUGGUGUUAUUACUUUCAUGGUGAUGCUGAGUGUUCUUCUUCUGGCUGGACUCGUCAUUGUCUGCCUCCUCUAUGGUGACACAGUAAGACAUUUGUCUGAAAUCUCUGACAACAAAGACAAUCUGACUGAGCAUCUGAAUGCUGUUAUUGAGGGGAUGAAUUCCAGCCUCAUUGAAACAACCAAGAAGCUGAUGGACUGUAA